rnacentral:misc_RNA from 1 species
UUUUUUUUUUUUUUAAGUGUUGGCUUUCAGGGCACCUAAUGAAUAUAUAAUGUUUAAUUUUCUCAUCUUUUGCUGUCAAUUGUGAUGUCUGAUAUUUAUUUUUAACUGUUUAAUAUUAUGGGAAUUUGAAACAUUCCAUGGUCAUAACAAAAAAUGCAUUAGAAAUUCUCCUUGUUGGACUUUUAAGGGCUGUAUUGCGCAAUUUCCACAGAUAUAUCUAACUUCUGGAUUUGAUUGCUGCUUUCGUGCAGAUAACAACAGCUAGAAAGG